rnacentral:rRNA from 1 species
UACGGAGGGUGCAAACGUUGCUCGGAAUCAUUGGGCGUAAAGCGCACGUAGGCGGCCUGAUAAGUCGGGUGUGAAAGCCCUGGGCUCAACCCAGGAAGUGCACUCGAAACUGUGAGGCUAGAGUAUCGGAGAGGUUGGUGGAAUUCUCGGUGUAGAGGUGAAAUUCGUAGAUAUCGAGAGGAACACCGGUGGCGAAGGCGGCCAACUGGACGAAUACUGACGCUGAGACACGAAAGCGUGGGGAGCAAACAGG